rnacentral:lncRNA from 1 species
CACUUGAAGGGAAACUUAGAAAAAUACAGAUCCAUAAACUUCAAGUCUUUGCCCCCAAACACUUAAACAUCAUUUAAUUGGAUGCAGUCAAACCCUCAGAUCUCCCACCCUAUUUAUCUGCAUCAUCAGGACCAAUAAUUAAACCCUAUGUAUAUUAUAUAUGCACCAACCCACAUGCAUGACAAUGUAUACGUGUUAUUUGCAUAUCAUUUUAUUUGAAUUUCCUAUAUAUUUGCAGCACGUUUUAGCUCACUGCCAUGAUAUGUUAUG